rfam:Streptomyces rubidus strain CGMCC 4.2026 genome assembly, contig: Ga0079901_1020
CUGGUCCCGGUUCACGCACCCGCAAUUCCGCGCGUGCGACCCGGUGCC